AGUGAACGCUGGCGGCGUGCUUAACACAUGCAAGUCGAACGAGAACGGAAUAUAGCUUGCUAUAUUUGUCAGCUAAGUGGCGCACGGGUGAGUAAUGUAUAGAUAACCUGCCCUUAAGAAAGGAAUAACAGUUGGAAACGACCGCUAAUGCCCUAUAUGCCUUUAAUACAUAAGUAUGCAAGGGAAACGCUUUAGUGCUUAAGGAUGGGUCUGUAUGGUAUCAGCUUGUUGGUGAGGUAAUGGCUCACCAAGGCUAUGACGCCUAACUGGUUUGAGAGGAUGAUCAGUCACACUGGAACUGAGACACGGUCCAGACUCCUACGGGAGGCAGCAGUGGGGAAUAUUGCACAAUGGACGAAAGUCUGAUGCAGCAGCGCCGCGUGGAGGAUGACACAUUUCGGUGCGUAAACUCCUUUUAUAUAGGAAGAUAAUGACGGUACUAUAUGAAUAAGCACCGGCUAACUCCGUGCCAGCAGCCGCAGUAA
rnacentral:rRNA from 1 species